AGAGACUGCUAUAUAGGUGCUGCAUGGCUGUCGUCAGCUCGUGUCGUGAGAUGUUGGGUUAAGUCCCGCAACGAGCGCAACCCUUAUCUUUAGUUGCCAUCAGGUCAAGCUGGGCACUCUAACGAAACCGCGUAGGAUAACUACGAGGAAGGUGGGGAUGACGUCAAGUCCUCAUGGCCUUUAUGUCCAGGGCUACACACGUGCUACAAUGGUCGGUACAAAACGUCGCAAACCCGUGAGGGGGAGCUAAUCGGAAAAAGCCGGCCUCAGUUCGGAUUGGAGUCUGCAAUUCGACUCCAUGAAGCUGGAAUCGCUAGUAAUCGCGGAUCAGAACGCCGCGGUGAAUACGUUCCCGGGCCUUGUACACACCGCCCGUCACAUCACGAAAGUGGACUGCACUAGAAGUCGGCGUGCUAACCGCAAGGAGGCAGCCGCCCAAGGUAUGGUUCAUGAUUGGGGUGAAGUCGUA
rnacentral:rRNA from 1 species